UGGGACGUGGGGUAAGAGGAAACCCGCUCGGUCUCCAAAACCGAGAGACGUAGGUUCGAGUCCUACCGGCUCAGC
rnacentral:tRNA from 1 species